rnacentral:misc_RNA from 1 species
CUUUCGCCAAUUGCAUACUUCAGUAUGUACCAUGGAUCAUUAUCUCAUUUACCAACAGGUUAUUUGUGGAGUCCUCAUCUGGUGCCAAAGCCAAGUGAUUGGGGUCCUUUGGUUGAUGUUGUCGGUUAUUGUUUCUUAAACCUUGGGUCGAAGUACAAGCCUAAGGAAGAAUUCAAUGAAUGGAUUCAGAAAGGAACAAAACCCAUAUAUAUUGGGUUUGGGAGCAUGCCUCUUGAAGAUCCCAAGAAAACUACGGACAUAAUAAUGGAAGCAUUAAAAGAUACUGGGCAAAGAGGAAUAAUUGACCGAGGUUGGGGAGAUCUAGGGAAUUUUACUGAGGUUCUUGAUACUGUCUUCCUUUUGGAGGAUUGCCCCCAUGAUUGGUUGUUUCCUCAAUGUGCUGCUGUGGUUCAUCAUGGUGGUGCUGGAACCACGGCCACAGGACUAAAAGCUGGGGUGCCCAACGACUGUAGUGCCAUUCUUUGGAGAUCAGUUUUUCUGGGGUGAUAAAGUACAUAAACAAGGGCUGGGACCAGCACCAAUACCAAUAGCUGAGCUCAGUGUUGAGAACCUUUCAAAUGCAAUAAGGUUCAUGCUCCAGCCAGAGGUGAAAUCUCGAGCAAUAGAAUUAGCAAAGUUGAUAGAGAACGAAGAUGGUGUAGCAGCUGCAGUUGACGCAUUUCACCGGCAUUUACCUCCUGAACUUCCUCUGCCUACUGUUUAUUUAGAUGAAGACGAACAUCCUGACCCUCUACAAUGGUUCUUUAUUCAACUCCAAAAGUGGUGCUGCCUUCCUUGUGGCGUGUAGGCUUCUUCGCUGUUUCUUUUACUGUUGUAUAGAUAUGAUUCACUCUCUUUCAUUUUUAUAUCACAGGUUAGAUGUGACUUC